rnacentral:rRNA from 1 species
UGGGUAACCUGCCUCAAAGAGGGGAAUAGCCUCCUGAAAGGGAGAUUAAUACCGCAUAAUAUGUUUAAGUCGCAUGACUUUAACAUCAAAGGAUUUUCUUUUAGAAAUUCCACUUUGAGAUGGACCCCGCGGCGCAUUAGCUAGUUGGUGAGGUAACGGCUCACCAAGGCAACGAUGCGUAACCGACCUGAGAGGGUGAUCGGCCACAUUGGAACUGAGACACGGCCCAGACUCCGUAGGGAGG